GAUUAGCGGAGUGGUUAACGCGUUGGCCUGCUACAGAUCUCACGAUCUAAGUCAGCCAAUUCCUUCGGGAGCGUGUGUUCGAAUCACACAGGUGUCG
rnacentral:tRNA from 1 species